CCUGGUUUGUAUAUGUGUGUAUGUGUCUUUAUUUUAUGUAUGUGUGUAUAUAUUUUAAAAAUGGCACCUAUCAACAUCUUGUAGUCAGUCUCCUGUGGAACACAUGUGAAAAAACUUCCAUCAAACGCUAUUCUAACUACAUCACAAUAAUACAUUGGAAAAGAGGGACAAAAAAGUUCUAGAAGCUGAGAGAUGUCGUGACUAUAAGAAGAAGCAACGUGUUUUGCCUCUUUAUUGCAAAGUAAUAGAAAUAAUAAUGGGCUAAUGAUGAUGAUGGCUGAAGUUUCCUGACAACCUCAGUGUGUGCUAGGUCCUGUGCUGAGCACUUUAUACAUACUUCUGUCCAGUGGAGCAUAAAAGAAACCUGUUGCGCUUCUCAGAAGAGGUCUACUCAUCAUUGUCGACAGAGAGGCAUGUGAGAAGUCCCAAUUCAGAGCAGUGACAGCCAUUUUUACCCUGGGAAGGCUGAUGAAGAGAGUUCCAGAGAUGCUGGAUAAUAUUUCUGUUGUUGUUAAACUUAGUCGAUGGACAGCCCACCUCCAGACUUCUUGUCAACGGAAUAAUGAACUUUUACAUGAUUUAAGCCAGUUUUUUUUUUUUUUUUUCCCCUUGUAAGCAAAAGCAUUCCAAGUGAUACAAGUGGGCUAAGCCUUUUAGGGCCAUUACCUUAUUUAAUCUCAUGGCAGUCCUAAGAAGUAGGUCCCAUCACUUCCCUACUUCUUAGGACCCCAUCUGCAGAUGAGUAAACAGGUCAAGAGAGCUUAUGCACCAGAUCCAAAUCACAGACUCUUAGCAACUCUGUGAUGAUGUCCCUGUUCUGCCUGAGGCCCUGAACCACCUGCGGUCAGGGAGCAUCAGUCACUCUCCCCUGUACCUCUAGGGGGCAGGUGGAUCUCCGGAAAGCCAGUGGAAUGAUUACUAAAGGAAUGAAUGCUCUAUUUUUCACUCCCCAGUUCACUCUAUCCUUUUUUCCAUAUUUGUAUCAAGCCAAUAUAAGACCCUGGUCAAGGGACGAUGCUUGCAAACUAAUAGAAAUAGUAACAAUGAUGAUGGUGAUGUUUCUCUAUGGUUCCAAACAGGCCCAAUGGAAUAAAAAAAUAAACUCCAAA